rnacentral:rRNA from 1 species
UACGGAGGGGGCUAGCGUUGUUCGGAAUUACUGGGCGUAAAGCGCACGUAGGCGGCUUUGUAAGUCAGGGGUGAAAUCCCGGAGCUCAACUCCGGAACUGCCCUUGAGACUGCAAGGCUCGAAUCCAGGAGAGGUGAGUGGAAUUCCGAGUGUAGAGGUGAAAUUCGUAGAUAUUCGGAAGAACACCAGUGGCGAAGGCGGCUCACUGGACUGGUAUUGACGCUGAGGUGCGAAAGCGUGGGGAGCAAACAGG